UACGUAGGUGGCAAGCGUUAUCCGGAAUUAUUGGGCGUAAAGAGCGCGCAGGUGGUUGAUUAAGUCUGAUGUGAAAGCCCACGGCUUAACCGUGGAGGGUCAUUGGAAACUGGUCGACUUGAGUGCAGUAGAGGGAAGUGGAAUUCCAUGUGUAGCGGUGAAAUGCGUAGAGAUAUGGAGGAACACCAGUGGCGAAGGCGGCUUCCUGGUCUGUAACUGACACUGAGGCGCGAAAGCGUGGGGAGCAAACAGGAUUAGAUA
rnacentral:rRNA from 1 species